rnacentral:tRNA from 1 species
AAGAAAGUGACAGAGUGGUAAUGUGGCUGGCUUGAAACCAGCAUAAGGGGGUUCGAUUCCUUCCUUUCUCG